CAGAGGCUACUGGUAUCAGGGAUUGCAUAAGACAUGCGAGUCGAGAGGUGACAGAGCUGGGCAUUCUGUACAGUAACACGUGCAUAAUCUGCCGUCAGGUGAGGACUAAUGCAGGGAAAAUGGGUUUAAUGCAUCAUAGGAGACGGGUGAUGGAAUGCUGUGUAUACGAAAGGUCCGCCACGAGAGGUUGAGUGCGCGUCCGAGUAGGUUGUUGUGGGAGUAACGGACCAACAUGCGUCUGAUCGGUACGGGUUGUGCGAGCAAGAGCCCGGAGAUUGAGUGUCAGACAUGAAUCCAGGCCGUACGGGGCGCAGCAGGCGAGAAAACUAUUCAAUGAGAGCAAUCUUGAUAGGGAAACCGUGACUGCCUGUCAAUGCAGGCUGUUCUGGUGUUUAACACACUCCAGGAGAAAGGGCCGGGCAAGACCGGUGCCAGCCGCCGCGGUAAUACCGGCUGCUCGAGUGAUAGCCACUUUUAUUGGGUUUAAAGCGUUUGUAGCUUGGUCGGUAAGUCUCUGGGGAAAUCUUUUGGCUCAACCAAAAGGCGUCUCAGGGAAACUGACGAUCUUGGAACCGGGAGAGGUAAGAGGUACUUUGGGGGUAGGAGUGAAAUCUUGUAAUCCCCGAGGGACGACCGAUGGCGAAGGCAUCUUACCAGAACGGGUUCGACAGUGAGGGACGAAAGCUGGGGGAGCAAACCGGAUUAGAUACCCGGGUAGUCCCAGCCGUAAACGAUGUGCGUUAGGUGUGUCAGUGACCACGAGUCGGUGAGGUGCCGAAGGGAAACCGUGAAACGCACCGCCUGGGAAGUACGGUCGCAAGGCUGAAACGUAAAGGAAUUGUC
rnacentral:rRNA from 1 species